AGUUAUUUCGAAGUGGUAGACGCCCUUAAGGAAUUGAGGUAUAUUAAAGUCACUGAGUAAGUUCUUUUGCUCUGUCAUGGAAGUUUAGAGAGUGGAGAAGGUAGCCAUGUAGGUGGGAAUGAGGAUGAAGUGGUGGUCCCCGGCAACGGCGCCAAAAUUUGAUGGGUGUCGCAGCCCAUACAAAUUUGAUGUGCAAAUAAAUGUAGUAUAGCUAGGGAAUGACCCCUAGGUCGUCUCCCAAAGACCAAUUUUGCGAUUCGAGAAUCAGGUCUAACACGAAGUUGGGGGGGGGGGUUGAAAGUGUUUGAGACGAAAAUUAAACUCAAUUAAAAUGCAUGGAAAUUAAGCACAACCGAAUAAAAUAGAAAAUAUUAAAGUAAAAUAAAAUGCUAAGCCUAACACUGCAAAAGACAAAUAUCCAAACAUAAUUAAAAAUAUUAAAGUGCAACACUAAAUUAAAAAGAUUAAAAGCAACUCAAGAUACUUUGUAAAAUAUUUAAAAGCAAAAGAAAUAACAAACAUAAAUUUCUUCUACCAUUCCUCGAGUCCCAUGUGCAUCUACCAAAGGGAAUUGAAUUUGCAAAGCUUCUAAAAAGAUAAUCCUUGACCGUGAACUCCCAUUUGUUGGGCUUCCAUUUGUUGACUUCAAAGUAAAAUGAAAAUGGGGAAAAUUUUCUCAUCCAUCCGUGACCAUGCACACCGUUGCAACUCAAGCUCCAAGAAAAAUUCAAUGUGCCUUUCAUUACCGAGAAUAACAAUGUGCCAUUCACUAUCCUCCUUUUCUCCAAAAAGAAUUCAUCUAUGCAUUAGUAGUCCACCUAACUUGAUGGGACAACACUUCUACACAAUUAAAUAAAUUAAAAUUAAAAAAACAACUUGCAGCUCUCCCCAUUAACCACCGUAUACCUCUUCAUUCUCAUAAAACCAAAAUUUGCUAUUAAAAUAAAUGGACCUAUAGAU
rnacentral:lncRNA from 1 species